rnacentral:rRNA from 1 species
CCUACGGGAGGCAGCAGUGAGGAAUAUUGGUCAAUGGGCGAGAGCCUGAACCAGCCAAGUCGCGUGAAGGAUGACGGCCCUACGGGUUGUAAACUUCUUUUGUCAGGGAGCAAUUGAGUCCACGUGUGGGCUUAGCGAGAGUACCUGAAGAAAAAGCAUCGGCUAACUCCGUGCCAGCAGCCGCGGUAAUACGGAGGAUGCGAGCGUUAUCCGGAUUUAUUGGGUUUAAAGGGUGCGUAGGCGGAAUAUCAAGUCAGCGGUAAAAAUUCGGGGCUCAACCCGGGCCGGCCGUUGAAACUGGGGAGCUUGAGUGGGCGAGAAGUAUGCGGAAUGCGUGGUGUAGCGGUGAAAUGCAUAGAUAUCACGCAGAACUCCGAUUGCGAAGGCAGCAUACCGGCGCCCAACUGACGCUGAGGCACGAAAGCGUGGGGAUCGAACAGGAUUAGAUACCCCGGUAGUC